UGACUCAGUGGUAACAAGCACUGAGUGCUCUUCCAGAGGACCCAGGUUCAAUUCCCAGGACCCACAUGGCAGUUCACAACUAUCUGUAAUUCCAGUUCCAGGGGACCAACACAUGACAAAACACCAAUCCACAUAAAAUAUAGUAAAAAAAAAAAAAAAAAAAAGUUGUUUGAAAAAAAAAUCUCUUACUCUGAGUGAGAGCUGUGAUUUGCAUGCAUCUAGAGUCCCAGGGUUAAGGAAACUGAGGCUGGAGGACUAUCUAAGCUAGCCUGAGCCACAUAGUGAGACCCUGUCUCAUAAAAACCAAAGAAAGAAAGAAGAAUAAAAGUAACAAAAUAAUAGAAGUAUAGUAAGUAUAUAGUAGCUGUGACUUUGAUGGGAAUAUAGGUUCCUUCAAUUAUAUAUGUGAACACACUGAAUUUUCUCUGGGCAGGGAAAGAGUUAAGUAGUUUUGCACUUUGCUUACAGGCUUCUGACAUGAUAUAAAACACUGUGAUUUGGGCUUUUCCAUUUUAGCUGACAUAGUUUAAGUUGAUGAAUAUUUUGAUUUGUGCCAGUCUCAGGCAGUUUUAAAUGCUAUCCCUGCAGGAGUCAAGAAGUCCGGUCAUAAUCACAACAAUAUGCUUGUCAGUCAAAGGCACCGGAAGAUUGCUUAGGUGCAAAGAAAGCAUUUUCCCCUGAAAGGAAACAGGGCAAUUGAAAUCACUACUUUUCAAGACGCUGAAGUCAAAACUGUUACCAGUUUCAUGGUGUGAAAAUCCAGGUCUCAGCACCCUCCUGGUUAGACCUCAGUAUGUCCCGAGGCUAUCUAUCCAAAAACACAAGUUACAGUCUGAAGUUCAGAAGAAAUUAGACUAAAGGAAAGCACCUCGAUCAAGGUUGAUUUCCCCACCAUUAUUUUCAGGAAGAAGUUGCAAAAUACGGUUCCAGAAAUAAAAACUACACGCAUACAUCCACAUGAAUUUCUGAGCAAGAUGCCAAGCCCUUCUCUGAAGCCAUGUGAAUUUUUCUCUUGUGCGUUUGUCAGCCUGAGUCCAAGCCAUCUUACUCUUUCCUCACUUCU
rnacentral:lncRNA from 1 species